rnacentral:misc_RNA from 1 species
GAUCACAAACACCUUUCGGAGAAGCGAUUUUUAGGAGUAAUUCUCAUUUUCCUUGAUUUUAUAGGUAUUGAGCAGUGAGAAUUUUAACAAUCAAAAGGUGUACCGUAAUGGACUUCUAGAGGAGAGGUAGGCAUGCCUCUGUUGUGUCUAAGUGGACAGCUUUGGUAAUUAUUUUGGGGAAGCUGCUUUUCUGGGUGGCUGAGUUUAAUGGACCAUGGGGAAGCAACAAAGCAAACUGGACGCUACGGACUUGAAGGAACUGCUGGACUGCACUUACUUUGAUAAAAAAGAAUUGCUCAAUUGGUAUCGAGAUUUCAUGAGAGACUGCCCCAGUGGUGUGCUGCAAAGAGAGGAAUUUCACACAAUAUAUCAACAGUUCUUUCCAAAUGGUGACCCGACCAAGUUUGCCAGUUUUGUCUUCAAUGUGUUUGAUGCCAACAAGGAUGGCUACAUAUCCUUCAAAGAGUUCAUCUGUGCUCUGUCGAUUACAUCAAGGGGGUCUCUGGAUGAGAAACUAGACUGUAAGUAUUUACUUAACCCACCCAUACAAAACUGUCUAGCCUGCUCUGUGACAGUAAUUAAAUCUCCAGUGCCCAUACAGAGAUAAAAUAAAUGAAAACAAUUCCACAAGUAGUUUGUCUCUUGUCAUCUUCACAAUGACGAGGCCUAUUGUUACGUUGUUUCUCUAACUUGUGGAAAGGAACAUAUAAUCACAAAACCUUGACAUUAUUUGUUGGUUACACUCAAAUUUUCAAUAAAACUUAAAUUUAUUUAAUUCCACCUGAAAUCGGAAUGAUUGUACAUGUAAAAUGUUGAUAUAAAAGCUUCUUUUUAAUCAUCCAAGGGGCCUUUAGUCUUUAUGAUCUGGACAAUGAUGGCUACAUCACAAAAGAAGAGAUGGUCAGCAUCGUGGAUGCUAUUUAUAGCAUGGUGGGAAAUCUUUUAGACCUUCCCAAGGAUGAAGACACCCCAGAAAAGAGAGUGGAAAAGAUUUUCUCCCAAAUGGACACAAAUAAUGAUGGUAAAUUAACAAAGGAUGAGUUUCGAGAAGGUUCAAAGUGUGACCCUUGGAUUGUGGAAGCACUGACCACGCCUCACAGAUAAACCAGCCUCGCCAAAUGUGUUGUUGUUAUGUAUCCAUAUAUUGCCAGAAAACCUCACAGAACAUCGCAGUUCUGUGAACAUCAGAGUGAAAUUUCCUGCUGUCUCCCUUUAAUGAGGAAGAUCUAAACUGCUCCAGAUAAAAUGCAUCCCUUUUAUAGGACUUCCUUAGAAGACUGUCACUAUUAGUGUAAAUGAAUCAUGAAUCUUCCAGAUUUCAUUCACUUCAAGUUAUAUAAGAAGUCAAAUUAUCGAUAACCACAAAAGCAGUAAUCGGCUCAUUUAUUGGCUGAAAAGAAUCUGAAUCUGUCAGAUGGUAUGGAAAAGAUAUGGAAUUUGCUAUCAUUCUGUGCUUCUGUUGUAAGCUUUUAUCACCAUCAUUUAUUGACUGAGAGACAUUAAUCCAUCACUUUUAUUUUUUAAUAGAAUCUGUUACACAUACAUGACUGUACUUGUACCCCACACCUUACCUUACUGCAUUCCAUUAAAUAUGCCAUGUGUAUUACAUGUAGAAAGAAAAUGACUGAUAUAUAUAUUUAAUAAAUCAAUAAUACAUCUAUUCAUACUUGUUUAUUUUCCCGUUUAAUUCAAAUUUUUUUUUUUAAAUUAGCAUAUAAAAUGUUGUUAUGAUUUUCUGUAAUACUAGAAUUCAAACAGGAAAGUGAUGCACAUUCCUUUCUGGAGUAAGAACUACAACAGUUAGCACUGUAUUGUUUUCAUCUUAUGUAUUGCAGAACACACUGACAGGUGCAUGAUAGAUAGUAUGAUUCUUGAUGCUGCAAUUUUCUCUUUACAUAAAUACAUGGGAAACACU